GUUUCCUGGAGGGGUAUAGAACCAUUCAAAAUACUCUAUCAGAUAUAGAGGUUCUAGACAACAGAAAGAAGACAUGGGAAGAAUAUAAAAAAGAGGAGCCAAGGGAAAUCCACUUAAAGGAGAUUAAAUGAAGAAGGCAUACAUUUUUACAAGCUAUUCACCUUGGUGUCUUCAUGAGCAAAAUGUCCUUCAGCAAAUCGAACUCGUCUGAUUUCUUCCAGCUCUGGAAUCACUCUAGAUUUUGCUUGUACUUCAGCUUCAAAGGAUUGAUGUUUCUGAUAUUUCCCCUGUAGUUUGAAAGCCAAAGAUAGUUAGGGCAUUCUAGAUCCUAAUCCCACUUCCCAAGAUCCUCUAGAGUUCAUUAAAGUUCACCUUUAUUCUGAGAAGAAUUGAUUGCCAAUGGAUAAGACUAAGAUUUCAAGAUGUCAAAAAUCAUUUUUUGGCCACAAUGGAGAUGAGAGCACCAAUGGAAGAACUAAAGAAUCAUAACCUUUUAUUUGCUUAUGCAUGCAUUUCUGAUCUCUUUAUCAUCUGUUCAGUUGGUCACUUUAAAAAAAAAUGGUCAGAUCA